CCUUUGUCCAAUGAGGAAACAGCUGGAUUCCCCACCACCACCACCACACCCCAGCUCUCUCAUUCUUUCGAUGAACGUUUUUCUUUGUUCAAGGAAACUUUCCUUGGCUCUCGACCCAUCUCGCAGUGUCUGGAAUGUAAAGCUCGCGCACCCUUCUUCCUGCCUGAGUCUGCCUUUCUCACCAGCCACAAAGUCUUAAGUGACUUGGCUUCUCCUAGCAAGACCUAACACCUAUCCCGGCUCCUAAACAAUCGAUCUCCUCUUCCGGUCAGCACAGCCCACUCUGCGCACAUCCUAACAAGGCAGCGUGUGUCCGGUGCCCAGAGCAGACCCGAGGCUCUGUGAAUGUGGCCGUAAGGUUGACCUCAUCGUCAAGGGAAUGCGAUGGCAACGGCCCUUUCCGCAUCCACUGCUCAGGUGUAGCUCGUGGGAUCAUCUCCGUUCUUUGAUUUCACGUCUCCAUUCUCCACUUCUUCUGCCCCGAGCCAGAACUGUCUACACAAAAAUAUCAUGAAACUGAAUGCUGAUCUCAGAGAAUUCCCUGGCUGUUCGAAAGACACACCUGGAGAUCAAGUCCUGGCCAGAAACGUGACUGAAGGAAGCUUCCCAAGAUGGGCUCUGCAACAGCACCACAGUGUGAUCGUGUAGCAUCCCGUGAGUCUCACCGUGCAUCCUAAAUUGACCCUGUGAAGAGUCAUAAGAAGCGAGACUUGCUGAUCAGCGUAGAGUCUUCCAAGUUCAUCCUCCAAGUGGACGCUCACCCUCCCUCCUCCUCUCCCCAGGAGGAGCCUCCAAUUUAGCUCAAAUCACUACUUACACUCACUAGCCUUCCUCCUCCCUCAGUCUCCCAAGUGUUCCCGAGUGCUCCCAAGUGCUCCUGAGUGCUCCCAAGGGCUAGGUUUAUAGAUAUGGGUCAGUAGCAGAGUCUAUCCAUCUUAAAUUAAUGUCUAUUGUUUACCAGUCACUAGCAGCACAAUGUCAUUUAAAUUUUGCUUCCGGUAUUCUAGAGUCCUGUUCUCUGGGAUGGAGGUUCAGUCUGUUGCCCCCCUUGCCCUCUACCCAUGACAAAAGGCUUAAAGUCUAUGUCCUCCAAGAAGAUUUCCUGACAAUACAGUUACAGCUUCUGCUUAAGCAGGAGCUAAGAACUUUCUUACCUCCUGCUUAAACUUUCCUAACUUGACUGAAAAUUUUAAGGUAUAGUACACUCAUUAGUAACCAAAUCCAAA